UGGGGAAUAUUGGACAAUGGGGGGAACCCUGAUCCAGCCAUGCCGCGUGUGUGAAGAAGGCCUUAUGGUUGUAAAGCACUUUAAGCGAGGAGGAGGGUACUGGUAUUAAUACUACCAGCUACUGGACGUUACUCGCAGAAUAAGCACCGGCUAACUCUGUGCCAGCAGCCGCGGUAAUACAGAGGGUGCAAGCGUUCAUCGGAAUUACUGGGCGUAAAGCGCGCGUAGGUGGUUCGUUAAGUUGAAUGUGAAAGCCCCGGGCUCAACCUGGGAACUGCAUCCAAAACUGGCGAGCUAGAGUAGGGCAGAGGGUGGUGGAAUUUCCUGUGUAGCGGUGAAAUGCGUAGAUAUAGGAAGGAACACCAGUGGCGAAAGCGACCACCUGGGCUCAUACUGACACUGAGGUGCGAAAGCGUGGGGAGCAAACAGG
rnacentral:rRNA from 1 species